AACUGCAGCCCAACAACCCGCAAAAUCUCUGGGAGACGGAGCUCUUCUGCAUCUCAACAGUGAAGCCAUGGCAACCACAGAAACAAUGUUUCCAGACCGAAGUGACUUUGAUUAUGUUCCAACUCAUCUGGUACCCCAAUUCCAAAAACAGAGGUACCUCCUCAAACUGUAUAGAAAAUAAUGAACACACAAGAGGAAGAGGAGGUCGGCACUGGAGCCACGACAGCAAAAAACACACCAUGAUCACCCCUCUGAUGGCGAACAAACCUCUGCCGGCUAGAUGUUUUAAAAAACAGGGUAUUAAAAACUUAUCCUAACCUGGUUUCAUGGAGUCUCCCACUGAAUUAUUCCAUAAGAGGUUCCAAGUGAAGAAAACUUCUGUGUACAAAGUGCUCAUAUUGUAUGAGCUUGUCUUAUACAACAGCUGAGCAAAUAAAAAAAUACUCCAUCCAUGAGAUUUAAUAAGGCACUUAUAAUUAAACAGCCUGUCUGUCUUCCUUACAUUUUAUUCCUGGUGAAGAAAGGAUACACUUAAAGCAUGAUUCAAGAUGAAUAGAUGAGAAGAAAUUUGAAGAACUGUAUACAACAAGUCAUAAUGAAAGGUGUCUUUUCACUUGUUUAUUGUAGUUGUACAUUUGCUGGGCCAUCCAAAAGGAGAUUAAGUGGGAAAAAAUAAUGAAGAAUAUGAAAUGAACCUUACAUGCCAAAAAGAAACAGCAAUAUCUUGAUAAAAACAGUCAUUAUAAUUCAUGUAUUUUAUUUUGAAGCUGCUUUUAAAUUACAAACAUGUAUGAAUCAGUGUUUUGUUAUCAGUUUAUCUUGUGUGAAAUAAGAAAUUACAUGUGCACAAUGAUAUCACAGUUACA